rnacentral:ncRNA from 1 species
AGAAAUGCUAUGACAAGGAGGAGUACAUGAUCCCCUGAUGCAAAGAGAGAAGAUGGCCGGUGAGAAUCUUCGUGACGGAAUUAUGGAAGUAGCCUUUGAGCAGUGAACCGAAAGGACACAAUAAGAUGUCUCAGUAGACUUCAACGCAUUCCCAGCGUUAACAGGGAACAAUAUCGGAGAUGAGAGAAACGUCUCCUGUAUUGGCUGAGUGCAGAGAGCGCAGUUCUCUGAAAUUAGGUGGUAACACGGAUGUAAUAUUCGCCCUAAGC